GAAAUCGAAAAUUAAAGCUUCAGAAUGCAAAGUCGCAGUGCAGAGUUGAAAUCUAGAAAGAAAUUGGAAACCCUAGUCGUCUUCUCUUCUUCUUGAUCUCGAGUUCAUCACUUCCUUAUUCAAUCUCGAGUUCAUCACUUGCUGCUAUUCUCAAUCUCGAGUUCAUCACUUGCUGCUCUUUUUCAUCAGUCAUCUUCAUUCGAUCUUCUUACAGCUUUGAUUCUUCAUCAGCUCAUCCACUUUGCGACCGGUCGCUUCUCCGAUUCGUCUUCAUCAGCUCUUCAAGAGGCAGAGUCGAGUCAGUCAACCCAUUUUGAUUCGUUGAAUUUGAAUUUGGAAGAUCUUGAUAUGGAUGAUGGGUCUGAAGAUAAUAUUGAUGGAGGGAAUGUCAGUGACCGAGUCCAAGAGAAUCCAUUGUUUGAAGCUUCUGAAGCACCACAUGAUGCUGCAGCUGAAGACAAUAUUUGUGAAAAUUAUGGUGGAGAUUGGAGUGCAUGGCAUUGCUGAUGAUAUUGACGGAUUAGUUAGUCUUUGUUGGGUUUGAUUUAUCUACUUGUGAUGGUGAACUGUGGCUUAUCUUUAUAUUUUUUUCGUUGUUAAUUUACGUGUUAGUUGUGUGAAGGUUAGACCGAUACUUGUGUGCGGAGGUUGUUGUGGUCUUAUGAGUGAUAACUCAUGUGUUUUAUGUUGUUUCCAAUCCAUUCUAUCUCUUCAGGCGA